rnacentral:rRNA from 1 species
CAGUAGCCGCGGGAAUACGAAGGGUGCAAGCGUUACUUGGAAUUACUGGGCGUAAAGCGUGCGUAGGUGGUGGUUUAAGUCCGUUGUGAAAGCCCUGGGCUCAACCUGGGAAUUGCAGUGGAUACUGGGUCACUAGAGUGUGGUAGAGGAUAGUGGAAUUUCCGGUGUAGCAGUGAAAUGCGUAGAGAUCGGAAGGAACAUCUGUGGCGAAGGCGACUAUCUGGGCCAACACUGACACUGAGGCACGAAAGCGUGGGGAGCAAACAGGAUUAGAUACCCCGGUAGUCCCUGUCUCUUAUAA